CAAUAGCGUAUAUUAAAGUUGUUGCAGUUAAAAAGCUCGUAGUUGGAUUUCUGGUGGGAGCGAUCGGUCUGGCGCUUAGCGCGAGUACUUGCAUCGUCUCCGGCCAUCCUUGGGGAGAGUCUGUCUGGCAUUAGGUUGUCGGGCAGAGGAUCCUCAUCGUUUACUGUGAAAAAAUUAGAGUGUUCAAAGCAGGCUUAUGCCGUUGAAUAUAUUAGCAUGGAAUAAGAAGAUAGGACUUUGGUACUAUUUUGUUGGUUUGCGCACCAAAGUAAUGAUUAAUAGGGACAGUUGGGGGUAUUCGUAUUCCGUUGUCAGAGGUGAAAUUCUUGGAUUUACGGAAGACGAACUACUGCGAAAGCAUUUACCAAGGAUGUUUUCAUUAA
rnacentral:rRNA from 1 species